UACGUAGGGGGCAAGCGUUAUCCGGAAUUACUGGGCGUAAAGGGUGCGUAGGCGGUUUAUCAAGUCAGGGGUGAAAGGCUACGGCUCAACCGUAGUAAGCCUCUGAAACUGGUGAACUUGAGUGUAGGAGAGGAAAGUGGAAUUCCCAGUGUAGCGGUGAAAUGCGUAGAUAUUGGGAGGAACACCAGUGGCGAAGGCGACUUUCUGGACUAUAACUGACGCUGAGGCAC
rnacentral:rRNA from 1 species